UGCACUAGUUGUCCCAACCCUUUGCUUCUAUCAUCUCUCAUUCAUUCGACGGCCUUGGAUGAGAAUAUUCCUGUUUGAUCCCCUAAUUUUUUCCUUUAAUUCCUUCGUGUAGUUCUUUGUUUUUACAUGCAAAGUGCCAACUUUUUCCAACCAAUAUGAAAAUGAUAUGCCUGCUGCUGCAGAGUCAGAGUCACAGAUAUCAGAUAUCGUCCCUUCCAUGGAAACAGGCAAGGGGUAGCAACUACAUCCAAACACUAAUAUGGUUAUAACAUGGAUGAAUUUUGCUUGGCAUCCUGUUUAUAAUAUGCACUGCUGAUUGAAAAGGAUUGACCCAAAAAAUUGGAGGCAUUGAAGCUUAAACCAGCAUGCUCAUCUGAGUUUCCACAAGAUGGCUUACAUUUCACCUAAUUUGGAGUUGGAUGCUAGAUAGAGUCUCAUAGGAGUCAAAAUAAUUCAGGUGACAGACAUCAGAGCCAUUUAAUUUUGAUUCUUAGUUUCUUGAUCCUGUUUCUGAAGUAUUGUUGUUAACUCUUUUCCUCAUUAUUUUGCUUUAUUAAAAUCUGUUGGCUUCAUAUGGUGUAAUUUUUUAGGAACUAACUUGACUGUCCAAAACCAUAACAGAAGCACAAUAGCAGAAACAACAACCUAUUCUAGAGGGCAAUGGUUUUACCUUUCCAGCUCUUUCUCUAGCAUUUGACCACAUGACUUGCUAUGUUGUCCUGCCCCCGGUAUGGUCCUAACUCUUUUUUUUUUCUCACUGGGUUAUGUCUUAUGACAUAAGCAAAACAUUAAAAAAAGUAUUUUUCUUAUUAAAUCAUAGUUCCUCAGUAGAAUAGCUAUUAUUAUGUAAUAUCUCCUAUUUUUCUAAGAGCUCUUAA